UUGACCUCGGAUCAGGUAGGAAUACCCGCUGAACUUAAGCAUAUCAAAAACCGGAGGA
rnacentral:rRNA from 1 species